GUGUGGGAGAAGCGUUAGGCACCCACGUCGGCUUAUUUGUGAGAUGUCUAGCCAAAGGCUCUUGGGAUUUGCAGGGCCUCUCAUAGGAUCUGUUUUUGGUUUCAAUAACUCUGGCGCUCACAGGAGUGCUGUACAGACAGUCUGAUUCUGUCCUUCUCUCUCUCUCUUUCUCUUUUUCUGACCUGUCUGUCGUCUGAGACCAGACUUGAAGGUUAUAACGAUAGAGCCAAGAUAUGUACGUCCGUGAGGUGUAAAUGGCAUCUCUUUUACUCUGUGAUAGGUAUUGGGGUUGGUACCACUCCAUUCUUACACACUUCUUAUGGAAGAAUUUCUUAUGUUGACUUCAGUACAUUAAUGCUCGAGAUCCACAGUCCUUUUUCUCUCCUGUCCUCUAUCUUUCUGUCUCUCUUAUUUGUUUUUGCAUUUUUCUGCAUCUUUCGCGUCAGGUGUACCAUUUUUGCAUAAUUUUAGGGGGGUGUAUGUAACAGAGUACAUCUGCGUUCGUUGUAAAAUUAUCAUAAAUGGUACGAGAGCGCCCUCUAUUGGUAGCUCUCGUGGGUUGAUAUGGUGGUACGUUGCGUGGUUACUUCAGAACACGCCUGGAGGAUGUCACGACGUUGACCGAAGUAGCCACGAAACCUGUCUUAAUCCUGUAUCCCGUUUUGUGUACCACCUAUCAUUGCAGAACACGCCUGGAGGAUGUCACGACGUUGACCGAAGUAGCCACGAAACCUGUAUUAAUCCUGUAUCCUGUUUUGUGUACCACCUAUCAUUGCAGACAAUAAAUACAGAUUAGACCAA